CGAGCGAGAAAGGGGCAACCCCGGUAAAGCGGCGCACGGGUGAGUAACACGUAGGUAAUCUACCCUCGGGUGGAGGAUAACUUUCCGAAAGGAAGGCUAAUACUGCAUGAGACCACGAUUCCGGAAGGGAUUGAGGUCAAAGCCGGCCACUGUACACAAGCUGGCGCCUGAGGAUGAGCCUGCGGCCCAUCAGCUAGUUGGUAGGGGUAAUGGCCUACCAAGGCGAAGACGGGUAGCUGGUCUGAGAGGAUGAUCAGCCACACUGGAACUGAGACACGGUCCAGACUCCUACGGGAGGCAGCAGUGGGGAAUCUUGCGCAAUGGGCGAAAGCCUGACGCAGCGACGCCGCGUGAGUGAUGAAGGCCUUCGGGUUGUAAAAGCUCUGUGGAGGGGGACGAAUAAGGGCUGGCUAACAUCCAGCUUGAUGACGGUACCUCUUUAGCAAGCACCGGCUAACUCUGUGCCAGCAGCCGCGGUAAGACAGAGGGUGCAAACGUUGUUCGGAAUUACUGGGCG
rnacentral:rRNA from 1 species